rnacentral:tRNA from 1 species
GGGGUUGUGGCUCAGUGGAAGAGUGUUUGCCUAGCAUGCACGAGGCACUGGGUUAGAUCCUCAGCACCACA